CGGCGUCCUCUGCAGCUUCGCCGACCUCUUUGGCACCUCCCCAAUAGAAGCUCUCUCCAAUGCGCGAAGAUAGAGCAGCCGCCAUGGGGGAUUCGGUCACCAGCUGCCACUGAUUCCACCGGCGUUUGUCGUCGGUGAGCCCACGAGCGCAUCCCUGCCAUCUCCUAUUUUCAAUGUCCUGCUCCGUUUCGUACAUAGGAUGAGUGCCGUCAAGAGCCAGCUGGGCGGAGGACGUCAUUAAUCAGGCUCGUGAUCGAUGGAUGAGAGAGGAUCCGUGGAGAAAUGGGUGGACCGGCUGCAAGAGCCAUGCAGAGCCGUGGAAAGAAUGGGAUCGGCUGCAGAUUCCAUGGAGGGCAGAUAGAGCAAGGCCGCUUAGCUGGUUCUAGGGAUGCCGGUGCUAGAUCCGUGAAGAAACAUCAUCGAAGGCGACCCGGUGGGCAUAAGUCUACGUUUGGCUCUUGGCUUGUGUCUUUCAUUGAGAUAAGAUUGUCAAAUCAAUUGCUCUGUCCAUUUAUGACCAUGAAUCGUCUAACAAGAGAUAUCAGUGUCCUCCUCCUGGGUGAUCCAGGCACUGCAAAAUCCCAAUUUCUAAAGUAAGGACAGAAUCAAUCACUUUUCAUCAUUUGAGAUUGCACCACUAAUUUUCCAUCUUUUAGGUAUGUGGAGAAAACAGGACACCGAGCGGUAUAUAUAACUGGAAAAGGAGCCUCUGCUGUUGGUCUCACUGCAGCAGUUCACAAGGAUCCAGUAGCACGGGAAUGGACACUUGAGGGAGGUGCACUGGUUCUUGCUGAUAGGGGCAUAUGCCUUAUUGAUGAAUUUGACAAGAUGAACGAUCAAGAUAGCCAUGGAGCAACAGAGUAUCAGAAUAUCAAAGGCAGGAAUCAUCACAUCUCUUCACGCUCGAUGCAGUGUUAUUGCUCCAGCAAAUCCAAUAGGCGGAAGUUUAUCUCCCUCGCUUGUGGGUAGUCUGAGGACACAAGGAGCAUAUUCUGCUAUGCCUCCUCCAGUUCAGGAAUUCAGAUGCCAAUGACGCUCCAUGGGAAGCUCAGCUUCGGCAUGAGAGGUGAGCUCUCACCUGCUAUUGUUCUGAACUAUUGACAUUUGCAUGCAGCUCCAAGUUCUCGUUAGAGCAGAUUUAUCAGAACAAAUAAGCCUGGCAUUUGUAAGCCUUACAGAAGACAUCCAAAAAAGCUCAGAUGACUGUGAAGGCUAAAAUAUCUCCAGGGAAGUGUAGAAAAUUAUUGUUAGCUUGAUAGUUCAUGUCCUUCCGAGACAUCCAUUUGUAUGCCUGUAAUUUGGUCCA